GAAGUUAGCAAGAUUAAUGGGAAGUUCUUAGCGGAAUAUAAGAACCCGUCUCUUAAUUUUUAACUAAAAAAAUUAAGAACCGGAUUCUUAACUUUUUUUUAGUUAAAAGUUAAGAGACAAGUUAUUAUAUUUCUUAAGUGCCUCAUCUUAAGAGCACUUGCAACGGG